CCUACGGGAGGCAGCAGUGGGGGAUAUUGCACAAUGGGGGGAACCCUGAUGCAGCGACGCCGCGUGGGUGAAGAAGCGCCUCGGCGCGUAAAGCCCUGUCAGCAGGGAAGAAAAUGACGGUACCUGACGAAGAAGCCCCGGCUAACUACGUGCCAGCAGCCGCGGUAAUACGUAGGGGGCAAGCGUUAUCCGGAUUUACUGGGCGUAAAGGGGGCGCAGACGGCGAUGCAAGCCAGGAGUGAAAGCCCGGGGCCCAACCCCGGGACUGCUGUUGGAACUGCGUGGCUGGAGUGCAGGAGGGGCAGGCGGAAUUCCUGGUGUAGCGGUGAAAUGCGUAGAUAUCAGGAGGAACACCGGUGGCGAAGGCGACCUGCUGGACUGCAACUGACGUUGAGGCCCGAAAGCGUGGGGAGCAAACAGGAUUAGAUACCCGAGUAGUC
rnacentral:rRNA from 1 species